rnacentral:rRNA from 1 species
AUUGAACGCUGGCGGCAGGCUUAACACAUGCAAGUCGAGCGGGGAAGGGUAGCUUGCUACCUGACCUAGCGGCGGACGGGUGAGUAAUGCUUAGGAAUCUGCCUAUUAGUGGGGGACAACAUUCCGAAAGGAAUGCUAAUACCGCAUACGCCCUACGGGGGAAAGCAGGGGAUCUUCGGACCUUGCGCUAAUAGAUGAGCCUAAGUCAGAUUAGCUAGUUGGUGGGGUAAAGGCCUACCAAGGCGACGAUCUGUAGCGGGUCUGAGAGGAUGAUCCGACGCACUGGGACUGGAACCCGGCCCAGACUCCUACGGGAGGCAGCAGUGGGGAAUAUUGGACAAUGGGCGAAAGCCUGAUCCAGCCAUGCCGCGUGUGUGAAGAAGGCCUUUUGGUUGUAAAGCACUUUAAGCGAGGAGGAGGCUACUUGGAUUAAUACUCUAGGAUAGUGGACGUUACUCGCAGAAUAAGCACCGGCUAACUCUGUGCCAGCAGCCGCAGUAA